rnacentral:ncRNA from 2 species
ACCCCCGUGAGUAAUGCCCUAAACACAUCCGACACUUUGGAGUACAGGAGCUGAUAUCAGGCACAACCUCUCGUUAGCCCACGACAUCUCGCCCAGCCACACCCCCAAGGGAACUCAGCAGUAAUAAACAUUAAGCUAUAAGUGCAAACUUGACUUAGUUACGGUCGAUGAGGGCCGGUCAACCAUCGUGCCAGCCACCGCGGUUACACGAAAGGCCCAAGUUGAUAGACACCGGCGUAAAGGGUGGUUAAUAGAAGAACUUAUACUAAAGCCGAACACCUUUUUAAAGCUGUCGCACGCACCCGAAGAUAGGAAGAUCGCCCACGAAAGUGGCUUUAACAACUAUGACCCCACGAAAGCUAGGGCACAAACUGGGAUUAGAUACCCCACUAUGCCUAGCCCUAAACAGACAAUCACUUUACAACCAUUUUUCGCCAGGGAACAACGAGCCUCAGCUUAAAACCCAAAGGACUUGGCGGUGCUUUAGACCCCCCUAGAGGAGCCUGUCCUAGAACCGAUAAUCCCCGUUUAACCUCACCCCCUCUUGUUCUUUCCCGCCUGUAUACCUCCGUCGUCAGUCCACCCUGUAAAGGCCUAAAAGUGGGCAAAAUUGGCACAGCCUAAAACGUCAGGUCGAGGUGCAGCUUAUGAGGGGGGAAGAGAUGGGCUACAUUUUCUGAUCCAGCAAAUACGGAUUUUGCCCUGAAAAAGCAUCUGAAGGUGGAUUUAGUAGUAAGGAGAGAUUAGAGCGCCCUCCUGAAACCGGCACUGAAGCGCGUACACACCGCCCGUCACUCUCCCCAAGACAUCUAACACUCAUACAUAAUGACUCAAAACCAUAAGCAAGGGGAGGCAAGUCGUAACAUGGUAAGUGUACCGGAAGGUGUACUUAGACAAACCC